AUACGUAGGUGACAAGCGUUAUCCGGAUUUACUGGGCGUAAAGGGCGUGUAGGCGGUCUUGCAAGUCAGAAGUGAAAUUCCUGAGCUCAACUCGGGCGCUGCUUCUGAAACUGCAGGACUUGAGUGCUGGAGGGGAUAGCGGAAUUCCUAGUGGAGCGGUAAAAUGCGCAGAUAUUAGGAAGAACACCGGUGGCGAAGGCGGCUAUCUGGACAGUAACUGACGCUGAGGCGCGAAAGCGUGGGGAGCAAACAGGAUUAGAUACCCUGGUAGUCUACGUCGUAAACGAUGAAUACUAGGUGUAGGGGGUAUCGACUCCCUCUGUGCCGCAGUUAACACAAUAAGUAUUCCGCCUGGGGAGUACGGCCGCAAGGUUGAAACUCAAAUGAAUUGGCGGGG
rnacentral:rRNA from 1 species